rnacentral:rRNA from 1 species
UACAGAGGGGGCAAGCGUUGUUCGGAAUUACUGGGCGUAAAGGGCGCGUAGGCGGCCUGCUAAGUCGAACGUGAAAUCCCUGGGCUCAACCCAGGAACUGCGUCCGAUACGUGGUUGCUUGAAUCCGGGAGAGGGACGUGGAAUUCCAGGUGUAGCGGUGAAAUGCGCAGAUAUCGGGAGGAACACCCGUAGCGAAGGCGGUUCUCUGGGCCAAUACUGACGCUGAGGAGCGAAAGCGUGGGGAGCAAACAGG